rnacentral:rRNA from 1 species
GACAGAGGGUGCAAACGUUGUUCGGAAUUACUGGGCGUAAAGCGUGUGUAGGCGGUCUUGUAAGUCGGGUGUGAAAGCCCUGGGCUCAACCCAGGAAGUGCACUCGAAACUGCGAGGCUAGAGUACUGGAGAGGUUGGUGGAAUUCUCGGUGUAGAGGUGAAAUUCGUAGAUAUCGAGAGGAACACCGGUGGCGAAGGCGGCCAACUGGACAGAUACUGACGCUGAGGCACGAAAGCGUGGGGAGCAAACAGG